rnacentral:rRNA from 1 species
UACGGAGGAUGCAAGCGUUAUCCGGAAUGAUUGGGCGUAAAGCGUCCGCAGGUGGCUGUGUAAGUCUGCUGUUAAAGAGUGAGGCUCAACCUCAUAAAAGCAGUGGAAACUACACGGCUAGAGUGCGUUCGGGGCAGAGGGAAUUCCUGGUGUAGCGGUGAAAUGCGUAGAUAUCAGGAAGAACACCGGUGGCGAAAGCGGCAUCCUGGACCGGCAUUGACGCGUGAGGCG